ensembl:snRNA U4 U4 spliceosomal RNA
AGCUUUGCGCAGUGGCAGUAUCGUAAGCAAUGAGGUUUAUCCGAGGCGCGAUUAUUGCUAAUUGAAAAGUAAUAAUUUG